GGAGGGAGCUCUGGAGAAUCCCAUUCAUUGGGUGCCGACGGUGCAAAGCAGGCGGGCUGUAAUCCCUUCUGCUGAAUCUCUCAGGCAGACGGACAGAGCCGGGUAU
rnacentral:ncRNA from 2 species